rnacentral:lncRNA from 1 species
UGCUCCAGCAAUGCUGGUGUCAUGUUUGGAGGUAGCUGUCUAUGGACUACAGUAUUCUCCCAGUGCUAGUCUGCAGUCACUGCAAAGGUGAGGUGCUUCUGUGUCACUAGCUUUGUUGAAAAUGCUUAAUAUUGCAAGGCAUUCUUGAAUAUUUGCUACUGUAAUCAAAGAAUAGAAACAAUGAAAUAAAUUUUAUGUGUUAACUCUUUUUUUCUAAAAUAAAAUGUCUUCAUUGGAUUGAAUGAACAUUGAUUAUUAAAAAGAGCUCUAAAAAUUCUUUUGCUUUCAUGAUUCUUGUAGCAAUCAGAUAUCAGUCCUAAAAUCACAUUCUUACCUGCCUCUAUUAUACUUAUAGAGAAAAACGAUGACUAGCAUCCACAUACACUGUUCGAUUCUCUCUAUUACAGCCUCCCAAUAGAACAUUUCUUCCUGAGCCAACCUAUCAGUGCAGCUCUGGAAGCAAAUGACCUCUCCUGGCAGAGCCUUCACUGUGUGGGGAACAUCAGAUUUGUGUAAAGAAGAUCACCUGUCUCUUCUCAGGUGUGCACUGUAGAGAAGCUGCUGCGAAGGCCACAGGUCACUCAGGAAAAUUUGGGGCAGUUUUCUAGGUUCAAGGGAGACUGGACAUCAAAGCUGCACUGGGACAUAUGG